CCUACGGGAGGCAGCAGUGGGGAAUAUUGCACAAUGGGGGAAACCCUGAUGCAGCGACGCCGCGUGGGCGAAGACGUAUUUAGGUAUGUAAAGCUCUAUCAGCAGGAGAGAAGAACUGACGAUACCUGAGUAAGAAGCACCGGCGAAAUACGUGCCAGCAGCCGCGGUAAUACGUAUGGUGCAAGCGUUAUCCGGAUUUACGGGGUGUAAAGGGAGCGCAGGCGGCACGGCAAGCCUGAUGUGAAAGCCCGCGGCCCAACCGCGGGACUGCAGUGGGAACUACCGGGCUGGAGGGCCGGGGAGGUAGGCGGAAUUCCUGGUGUAGCGGUGAAAUGCGUAGAUAUUAGGAGGAACACCAGUGGCGAAGGCGGCCUACUGGACGGUGACUGACGCUGAGGCUCGAAAGCGUGGGGAGCAAACAGGAUUAGAUACCCCGGUAGUC
rnacentral:rRNA from 1 species